AAUGUGAAGAUGUCAGUAUGUUUUAUUGAUUUAUGCUUUUGUAUUUAUUGUUCUUUUAGUGUGGAAAUGGGCACCUUUGACUGAACCAUGUUUCUUGCUCGGUAUUGAAAAAUGACCUCAUUCCUUUAACUGAUCCAUAUGCUGCCAUUGCUACCACAGCUCUCACGUGUGAUGUCCAAGCAGGAAGCAGCUCCAUGUGUGAUCUGUGUAUCAGCUGUCAAUCUGCUACGCUGGUCUCCAGGAAUCUAGUCAGAUUCAAACCUGCUCCAUGUGUUUCAUCAUUCUGGAACCUGGGACCUGGAAGUGCUCUUCUUAUGAAGAUCACAGGAAAGCAGAUGAGUAAACCAAACUGUGCAAGCACACUUAAGCCCUCUGCUGCAACAUGUUUGCUAAUACUCAAUUCAAUAUUAUUGAAAACGAGUAAGGAAACAACAUGACAGAAUAUGAUUUGAAUGUUUGGAAUCUUGGGAUCUGACCCAAAUACUUUAACAAAAUUAGUUCUUUAUUUUACUGAAGUGGUAUUAAUUUUUUGUCAGAUAUAUG
rnacentral:lncRNA from 10 species